rnacentral:rRNA from 1 species
AGUUUGAUCAUGGCUCAGGACGAACGCUUGCGGCGUGCCUAAGAAAUGCAAGUCGAACGGGGCAGCAAUGCCUAGUGGCGAACGGUCGCGUAACACGUAAGAAACCUGCCUCGGAGUGGGGGACAACGACCCGAAAGGGUCGCUAAUACCGCAUGCACAUGUUAAUCGGCAUCGAUUGACAUGUAAAGCUAUAUGCGCUUCGAGAUGGUCUUGCGGCCUAUCAGGUAGAUGGUGGGGUAACGGCCUACCAUGCCGACGACGGGUAGCUGGUCUGAGAGGACGAUCAGCCGGAUUGGGACUGAGAUACGGCCCAGACUCCUACGGGGGGCAGCAAUUAGGAAUCUUGCGCAAUGGGCGAAAGCCUGACGCAGCGACGCCGCGUGAGGGAUGACGGCCUUCGGGUUGUAAACCUCUUUUGCCGGGGAAGAAGAAUGUGACGGUACCCGGUGAAUAAGCCCCGGCUAACUACGUGCCAGCAGCCGCGGUAAUACGUAGGGGGCGAGCGUUGUCCGAAGUUACUGGGCGUAAAGCGCGCGUAGGCGGCUUCUUAAGUCUGGGGUGAAAGG